rnacentral:rRNA from 1 species
UAAGACGAACCGUGCGAACGUUGUUCGGAAUCACUGGGCAUAAAGGGCGCGUAGGCGGGCUUUCAAGUCAGGGGUGAAAUCCUCCAGCUCAACUGGAGAACUGCCUUUGAUACUGGGAAUCUAGAGUAUGGUAGGGGCGUGCGGAACUGAUGGUGGAGCGGUGAAAUGUGUUGAUAUCAUCAGGAACUCCGGUGGCGAAAGCGGCACGCUGGACCAUCACUGACGCUGAGGCGCGAAAGCCAGGGGAGCAAACGGGAUUAGAUACCCCGGUAGUCCUGGCCCUAAACGAUGGGUACUAGGUUGUGGACUUGACAUGGGUUCACAGCCGGAGCAAAUGUGUUAAGUACCCCGCCUGGGGAGUAUGGUCGCAAGGCUG